CUCUAACCUUCUGGAUUACUGAGUCAGAGAGCACGACCGGGGUCCAGAGACCCACCACACUGGAAAAGCACAAAUAACCGGCGCAGGUUGGCGGCACAGCUUAGAGUAAUAGUUUUUAUGUAUACACUUGUCUUGCACAUUUCAACUGGUAGAGCUAAUGAACAUGAAAUAAUAAAAGGCAUCUCUUCGACAGCAAGAUAUUUGGACGUGAAAGGAAAUACUAGGCCUCCAGAAGGUGAUCAGUCAUGCCUCUAUAUCAGACCCUCCCGAGGACGCUUGAUGUCAUCUCGUCCCUCCUGGUCAUUAUACUGCUGUCUCCUCUCAACAAUACUGCCCUCUCAGCGGUCUGCUCUAGCUGCUUCUCCACUUGAAAUGCCUGGCUGGCCUCUUCUCGCAAACCUACAUGAAAUUGUGUGCUAAAACGUUGCGUGGUCCUCCCCUUACUCCUCCCACUAACCGUGUUUUUAGGACACAACAAAGGAGACCCCCAGACAACUUGGCUGAUGGACUGUUAUCAGGAAUCAAUGUUCAUGUGAAAGCAAAAGAUGCUCAAGUGUCUGUGAUCAUCCAUUUAAUCUAAAAGGGACAGUCCACUGAAAAUGCUAACUAAAAUCUUUUCUCCACAUACCUUGGUUGUAGUCGAUUCCUAAAGACAAAUUGUAAAACUUGAAGCCAAGUAACAUUUUCAAAAAUGUCUAUAGAUGGAAUAUAGUCUACCCCUUUAAUGACCCUGUACUGUAAUGUAUACACUCAAUACUGUAAAAAAUAUAAGUCUAAUUAUAUUGACAGCAUAAAACCGUGUCUGACAUUUUUCGUUCGUGGAAUAUCACCAGACUUGACUUCAAAACUACAAUAAAAUGAAUUUCCACAAUACAUAAUGCCAAUGAUGGGAUACAAUUGUAGGAUUAGAGUGUAUCGGAUGGACAAUUCAGUCUGAAAAUAUAUGGUGAGUUGAACAAAAUAUAAACUAGCUCCUGGAACUCCAUACCAUUUAUUUUAACAGAGAAAUCCUUGCAGGAAUCUGCCCAAAUCCAGUGGGAUAUCAUGCAUGACAUGUUACUCAGUGUCCUGCAGCAUUCCUGCAAGACCUUUACUGCUGGAAUCCUUUAAGCAUUUUGUAAAGGAUCUUGUCAAAUGCUCAAAAUGCUGUAAGGGAGAAACUCACCCAUUUCAAAACCAAUGUCUACCAUCCUUGAGUAACCAUUUAUGCCAGAAUGCUUGCCACCUAUCUGCUAUGAGGAGUGAUACAGUAUAUGCUAAUUGAGAAGCAGGCUCCAAUAUUGUGAAAUGAAAUAAUAUUCUAAUAAUUCUAGAGCUGUUUCAAACUAAUUUUGUUUUUACACUGUUAGUUGUUUCCAGAUGAACGAGACAUGAGGCCAUAUUUGCAUCAGAGAUAAAAAAUAAAAUAAAAAUUGUGAACUGGUGAAAAUCAUAAUUGUUGCAUGCCACAUAUUGAGAUAACGUGGCACACUUUUUUGUCCGAUACUCCCCUUAACUACUGAAGUCUAAAGUCAACGUCUCGCAAAAUGUGUAUUGAAGUGAAAUGAGGGGUGAUGUAGGAAGUUUGGAAGGUUCUGAAAGGCCUUAGAGCCCCAUGAAUUAGGAAAAUCUAAAUUGUCAUUGGGAAGAAACUAAAGUGAUCUCACAUUGGCCCAGAAACAAUUCUGCAAUCACCAGUAACAGCACUUGUUCGACAGAGUGCCAUGUUAGUUACCAGUUCAGUGGUCUGGCCCAGGCAGAGCUUGCACAUGUGUUUUGCCUUACAGAGCAUGGAGAGAAACACUGCAGAGAUGGGUAGAACCUGCCUUAAGGAUAACCAUAUCUGCAUCACUACAUCAGGCCUAUAUGGUGACAUUUCUGUCCGGAAGCCAUUCCUAAGUUAAAAGCCACCUUAAGGACUGUGAGAGCAUGAGGAAAAUGAUUCUGUGGUCUGAUGAGACUAAAAUUGAACUAUUAGGACUGAAUGCUAAACGCUGUGUCUGGUGAAAACAAGGUACUGCUUAUCUCCUGGCUAAUACCAUCCAUACAGUGAAGCGUGGUGGUGGGAACAACAUACUAUGAGGAUGUCUCUCUGUGGCUUGGACUGGGAGACUGAUAAGGUUUGGGGGAAGGAUGAAUUGAGCAGAAUACAGAGAGGUCUUCGAAGACCUGAUCCAGAACACACAGGACCUCAGACUGGGUCAAAGAGCACCAUCAUAUUUCAGCACAACAAGGGCAUGAUGUAAAUCUCCAAGGCAAUGUUGGAGCGGCUUCUAGACAAGUCUGUGAAUGUCCCAGAGUGGCCCAGCCCACCCUAACCCAAUUAAACAUAUGUGGGGAGACCUAAAUGUAAUAAAUUGCCCGGA
rnacentral:lncRNA from 1 species